GAAUCCGACUGUUUAAUUAAAACAGAGCAUUGUGAUGGCCCUAACAGAGUGUUGCCACAAUGACAGAGUGUUGC
rnacentral:rRNA from 1 species